CAAGCAACGGGUGCAUAAAAUCACACGCUCCUCUCCGAACCUGCCGGAGCAGCGGGACCCGAGCGGGCGGCACCGGCAGCCGCAGCCCGAGCCGCCCCCUGGCUCCCGGGGUGGGCCGCUAGAGGGCGCCCUGGCCGCGGCGUGGCGGAGCCCCGCGCCCCUCCCGCUCCCGGGCGGGCACCUCGGGCAGCGCCGGGCCAGGGACCGCCAGCCACGGCCUGUGAGCAUCGUUAUCAUCAUCAUCGCUGUUGUUGCUAUUAUUGGUAUCGUUAUUGUUAUUGUUGUUAUUAUCAUCACCAUUUUUACCAUCAUCACCACGAUCAUUAUUUUAAUUUUCACUGUCGUUGCUUUGUGCGUUCGGUUUGCUCCUUCCCCCUGCGCAGCGUGACAAUGCGGCCCAACAGCGAUUCAGAGCCAAAGCUCGAAAUGGGGAGGAUUCUGCAGAACUUCCACCACACAACUUCACAGCAGCGUUAACACAGGCAACCUCAGCAAUGAAUGACGAGCAGGUGGCUUCAGAAGGAUGCGAAAAGCCCAGGGGCAGAAUAAGAGUGUCUGUGUGGAAGUCCUGGUCAGGUUACUUGAAGAGCAGCCAGGUAGUAGACAGCCCAAGGUGCCAUUUCAGAAAAUAAGCAAUACAGCGGUUUUUACAUCACACUAUGGGUAUCACAGAGGAAGACUGACAUUUUUUGCACAAUUAAAAUCAAGUCAGCUGGCUCCAGACCCCCUGAAAACAGGAGACUGACACCAGUUUGGAAUGUAACUUUCACAUGUCCUAUUCCUAUUGCUCUCAAAGACUGCAACUGAAAAGACUAGAGGGGUGUUUCCAUUUCGAAGGAGAUGGACUGAAUGGAGGAUAACUUUGGAAAAAGAGGU